rnacentral:lncRNA from 1 species
GCCUCCCAAAGUGCUGGGAUUACAGGUAUGAGCCACCAGGCCUGGCCAAAAGUCUGGUGUUUCUUGAGAGUCAGGGGAGGGGUUAGUUGAAGGGGGCAAUGUGGCCAAUUACUUGGGGUCCUGGGGGCCUCAGAGGGAAGUCGGUGCUUCACUUGAAGAGUAUGGGGUUUAAGAAAGUGAGUGCUGUGGUCAGAUCUGUACUUUGGAACAAUCACUCUGGCUGCUGGUGGAGAACAGGUGGGAGGGAUAAUGGACAGGAGGCAUAAAGACCCCUCAGGAGGCAGCCACAGGCAUCCAAGCCAGAAGCGAUCACCUGAACAGAGGAAAGGGGUGGAAGGAACCGACUCAAGAAAUGUUGGGCCAGAAUUUCACCUGAAAAACAAGACAAAGAGAACCCUUAGGUUUUCAGUCAGGACCACCAUGUGGUUAGAGUGUCACCAUCAUAGGAGAAAGAAACCAUAACUAGCGGGUGGGCUGGGAGAUGACGAGCUCAGUUUAAGACUUGGUGAGUGUGAAAGAGCUAUAGGCAUCUAGGAGGAAGCAUCUGGCAGGCAGGUGGAUACACAGGUCUGAAAUGGAGGGAGGGUUUGGCCUGCAAGGCUGGAGAGAGGAGGCUGGAGUGAAUGUGCCAUGAACAAGUUUACAUGAAUGUGACUGGGGAGCAGGGAAGAGGGGGAAAGUGCAGGAACGUAAUGCCUCUUGACCCUAAAAUUCUCACUUGCUGAGAGUAAGGGUGAGGGGAGGGGCUGGGGGCAGGAAGGGGGAGUUUAGAACAUUUAUUAUGGGAAACAGGAGAGAAGCUGACCCAGGCACAGCUAUGACAUCUAAGAGGAGUCAGGAGACUAGUUCUUGCCAAAGGAAUGUUGAUUGAGGAUGACAUGUCACUUCCAGCCCAAGAGAGUUAAGAAGAAGACGUGACUUCUCCACUCUUCCUUUCCCCUUCUCCCAGUUCGAUGCCCCUUUGUUACAGACUGAAUGUUUGUGUCCCCCCAAAAAUUCCUAUGUUGAAACGGAAUCCCCAGUGUGAUGAUUUGGAGGUGGAGCCUUUGGGAGGUGAUUAGGUCUUAAGGGUGGCGCCCUUAGGAUGGGAUUAGUGCCUGUAUAAUAAGAGGCCAGCGGCCAGGCAUGGUGGCUCAAGCCUGUAAUCCCAGCACUUUGAGAGGCUGAGGUGGCUGGGUCACUUGAGGUCAGGAGUUUAAGAUCAGCCUGGCUAACACGGUGAAACCCCAUCUCUACUAAAAAUACAAAAAUUACCCGGGUGUGGUGGCGCAUGCCUGCAGUCCCAGCUACUCAGGAGGCUGAGGCAGGAGGAUUGCUUGAACCCAGGAGUCAGAGGUUGCAGUGAGCGGAGAUUGCACUACUGCACUCCAGCCUGGGCAAGUGAGUGAGACCCUGUCUCAAAAAAAAA